rnacentral:rRNA from 1 species
UACGGGGGGAGCAAGCGUUGUUCGGAUUUACUGGGCGUAAAGGGCGCGUAGGCGGUCGUGACAAGUCACUUGUGAAAUCUCCGGGCUUAACUCGGACGGUCAAGUGAUACUGUCGGACUAGAGUACAGAAGGGCAACUGGAAUUCUCGGUGUAGCGGUGAAAUGCGUAGAUAUCGAGAGGAACACCUGCGGCGAAGGCGGGUUGCUGGGCUGAUACUGACGCUGAGGCGCGAAGCCAGGGGAGCGAACGGG